GCUCCUGGACUCGGUUUUCCUCGUCUGUGAAAGGGACAAUAACACCUAUGCUGUAGCUAUACAGAUGUGGCUGUAAAAUGCCUGGCAUGUGGAACAUCUCUUAUGAUUAAAGGGUAGUAAGGGUCAAGGCUUCGGGAAAAGAUGGACCUGGGAGAUACAGUGGACUAGAAAGGUGGGGUGGGAAGAGGAAGGCAUGAUCUGCUUGUGACGUGCAGGAGGAGCUGGCAGGCGGCUCCCACCGGGCAAGGAGAUCAGGACUGGAAGAUGAGAAAGGAGAAUAGCAUCGGAUCCUCCUAGAGAUUUGGAGGCCAGGCCGGAGCAGCAGCUGAAUGAAGGAAGACAGGUUCACCUCGCUAUCCCUGAAAUAGGAAGCAAGACUCUUGCUCUACACAGGCUGCCCUGGCUCAAGAAGGCUGGGGCCCAUCACCCUUUCAUGGACAGUGGUGCCUUGUCCUGACAUGGCCCAGGCCUGGCUGUUGGACUAGGCUGCAGUCUCUCUUGAGGGCACGUAUCCCACAGGGAUGGUGCAGGCCCCAGCAGGUGCAGGACAGCCCAGCUGCCAUCAAGCAAACCAGAAUCUCACAGUAGCACACGAGAAGGCCCCAGAGGACCCGCCAACCUUAGUGUUCACAAAGCGCUGACCCUGGCAAAGUGCCUGUGCAUCUGAUGAGGGCAAGUGGGCCGCAGGUCUCGCUGGUCCGGGGCCCCGGAGUUGAACAAUGGAGAAGAUUCAUCUCAUUGUCCCACGUUCCUGAUGUUACACUGAAAGCCCUGAGAACCUCAAAUGGAUGACAUCAAGAAAGGAUCAUGUUCCAGUAUUUCUGCGUUUGAUUUUUAAAGUCAGCUCAUAACCCUGUUAGGGGUUUUGAACUAAGGUAGCACUGCCCAUGUGACUCAUCAGCCCCCCCCCCCCCACACACACACAAAGGCAGUCACUGGCAGGAAAAUGAGACUGCUCACCGCCCACGAUCACAACGAGACAACCAAAAAUGAAUUUACAGGAGAACCUGGAGUUCCCAUAAGUAUAAAAUAUGUGAAGCUACCCAGGACAAGUCUCAGGGAGAAAGACACCAUCUAGAUUCUGGGUUAGCUCUUCACUGAUGGCACGCCAUCCUCUGCUUAAAUGUUGUGAAAUGUUUAUUUGGUGAAGAAACUGGUAAUUUCUUGGGGUGAGCGAGUAUGAAGGUCACAGCAUUGCCCAUGAAUAAUCUUGCCAAUAAUGUUUAACCUGAAUCUAAUUAAGACUUACUUUCCAGUUCACAGUGAAUACAGAGUAUGAAGGAAAAACUUAAGAGUGCCAGACAGAAAUAACCUGACAAACUGAAAUUGUGGGAAGGGCAGGUAGUUACUGGCAUUGCUGUCAUGGCACCCAUUCCCUAUCCAUUUGUUCUUUGCCCACAUCCAUAUAAAGCAGCUGAAAAACCUGAUACUUGAUUUCCCAGUCACAUCCUCAGCCCCCAACCCCCUGCAUCUAGAAGCAAUCAGAAGAUCCAGUUGUGGUCAAUGAGAAGCAAAGGGAAAUCCACUGGCGGCUUCUAAGGAAGACUUUCCUCCUUGAUGAAAAGAGAAAGAUGAGAAGAUGCCCAUGUGACAAGAUGACACGAAGUGAAUGACGCAGGCGUGGGACACAGAAUCGGCUACCACUGACUUUCUGGCACUACGUCAGAAGGAGGAUCGUCUGCAUCAGAACCACGGUUGACUACUGGUAACUGAAACCACGGAAAGUGAACCACUGGUUAAGGGGGGGGGACUACCACACUUAACAUUUCCAGAGACCAGGGUGGAUGCCGGCCAGGGCUGUGAACUAGAGGGGUGGUCUCUAGCUAUCUAGUACCGGAUCCUGGGUGAUUAGGGCAGGGAAUAGCACCUCCUGCGUGUAGGAGCCCAAUUAGGGGAGGUAGUUCAGAGUCUGGUAGUUCAGCUCAGAUUGCAUGUUUGCAUAAGAAAGGUGUGCUCCCAACCCUUUGCACUUUCUCAGAAUUGGCCAGCCCUAGGGUGAAGGGUGAGAUGGGAGGGCAGUCUCUCCCCAGUCAGGGAAGCCACACAGGCCAGAGCAUCAAUAUACAAAAUAAGAGGGCCCCUGAGUGGCUCGCUGGUUGAGCUUCUGCCUUUGACUCAGGUCAUGAUCCCAAGGUCCUGGGAUUGAGCAUCACAUUGGGCUCCCUGCUUGGUGGUAACCUGUUUCUCCCUCUACAUGUUUAUUCUCUCUCUCUCUCUUUCUCCCUCUCUGUGUCAAAUAAAUAAAUAGAAUCUUUUUAAAAAAGAAUAUACAGAAUAAGAAAAUGUAGUUAAUGCAGAGGUCACUUCUUCAAUUUGACUGUUGCUGUCAACAGUGGUCAGUGGCAAGUGGUCAUGCCAUUGACAGUGGUCAUGCCAAGU